UAAUCCAGACUCGUGUGGUGGUGAUGAUAAUGAAGAGAUCGAAGGAUGUUCAUUUGCACCAUGUGAGACGCCAAUCAUGACCACCUGUACGAGAACAGUGGCAACAAAAGAGUUUUGUCCGCCCUGGUCAGAUAAUACUUGUACAAAAUACCGGACGGAGACUUACACCUGCCCUGACCCAGAUAUGAUGUGCUGUAAAGGAUACGUGCUUCAAGGAGGGCUUUGUGUAGCGGUCAAUACCUGAUGACGAAACAGAUAUGUUCCUUGUUAAGCACAACAUUUAGCUGUUCAACAAAUGUCACCUGCUUAGAAAGUCCCAGUCAAUAACGAAGGAAUAGCAUUUUGGCGAACAUGAGUUGAUAUACUCGAUCAAGAUGAAAAAUGCCAGAUCUACUUCAUUUACUCAUUGAAUGGAAAUUUCAAAAAAUGUAUAAUAUUGCAGAUGUAAAAAGAUGUAAGCUAGACCGAAAAUCCUAUAUAAAUCAUAUACGUAUAGCUUCAAAAUGCUAAAAAAUCCAUAACAUUUGAGUAACGCUUAGAUCAUAUAAUAUUUUGAUUUGAAGAAUAAGCAAGGACGCUCCUCCUUUAUAAACAGUAAGCUUUCAGUGAUUCAAUUGAAUAUCCAAUAGUAUUAUAACUGGCUUAUGUCAACGUUUUUGUCUAGCUACAAUGUUGAUUGAAUGAUAUUUAUUUGUAUUUGUGUGUAUAUGCGUGCUAUCAGUGUAUACAUACUGAAUGGAAUGUGAGAGGUAUAAUGUAAGAGGAUAAUGUUCAAAAGGUGCUAUUGUAUUAUUUGUUGAGUUUGUUGUUGACAUAGUUUCGUAUGAACAAUAAUUACCAUCUAAAUAUGUUCAUACAUGUAUACAGUUUCGUUCAAAACUAAAAAAAAAAAGGGCAAAAUUGCUAACGAAAACAUGGUUUCCAAAUAAAGACACGUUCGUGCAAACUGAUAUUUUUGGAAAUUGAUGAAUUCGGUUAUUGGAGGAAGCUUUGGUUUUUAAAUCCGCCAAGAAAAAAUAAUUCGAAAAAAAGAUACACUGAAAAAACAAAAUAUUUUGAAUGUUAUUAACGAUCUGCUUUUCUGAAUUUAAAAUCACGUUCAAAU